rnacentral:rRNA from 1 species
AUUGAACGCUGGCGGCAUGCCUUACACAUGCAAGUCGAACGGCAGCAUGAUCUAGCUUGCUAGAUUGAUGGCGAGUGGCGAACGGGUGAGUAAUACAUCGGAACGUGCCCUGUAGUGGGGGAUAACUAGUCGAAAGAUUAGCUAAUACCGCAUACGACCUGAGGGUGAAAGUGGGGGACCGCAAGGCCUCAUGCUAUAGGAGCGGCCGAUGUCUGAUUAGCUAGUUGGUGAGGUAAAGGCUCACCAAGGCGACGAUCAGUAGCUGGUCUGAGAGGACGAUCAGCCACACUGGGACUGAGACACGGCCCAGACUCCUACGGGAGGCAGCAGUGGGGAAUUUUGGACAAUGGGCGAAAGCCUGAUCCAGCAAUGCCGCGUGUGUGAAGAAGGCCUUCGGGUUGUAAAGCACUUUUGUCCGGAAAGAAAUGGCUCUGGUUAAUACCUGGGGUCGAUGACGGUACCGUAAGAAUAAGGACCGGCUAACUACGUG